rnacentral:rRNA from 1 species
AUGCAAGUCGAACGGUAACAGGGAGCUUGCUCCGCGUGACGAGGUGGCGGAACGGUGAGUAAUGUAUCGGAACGUACCUUUCAGGUGGGGAUAACGUAGCGAAAGUUACGCUAAUACCGCAUAUUCUGUGAGCAGGAAAGCAGGGGAUCGCAAGACCUUGCGCUGAUUGAGCGGCCGAUAUCAGAUUAGCUAGUUGGUGAGGUAAUGGCUCACCAAGGCGACGAUCCGUAACUGGUCUGAGAGGAUGAUCAGUCACACUGGAACUGAGACACGGUCCAGACUCCUACGGGAGGCAGCAGUGGGGAAUAUUGGACAAUGGGCGAAAGCCUGAUCCAGCAAUGCCGCGUGAGUGAUGAAGGCCUUAGGGUUGUAAAGCUCUUUUACCAGGGAUGAUAAUGACAGUACCUGGAGAAUAAGCUCCGGCUAACUCCGUG